rnacentral:rRNA from 1 species
GACGAACGCUGGCGGCGUGCCUAAUACAUGCAAGUAGAACGCUGAAGAGGGGAGCUUGCUCUUCUUGGAUGAGUUGCGAACGGGUGAGUAACGCGUAGGUAACCUGCCUUGUAGCGGGGGAUAACUAUUGGAAACGAUAGCUAAUACCGCAUAACAAUGGAUGACACAUGUCAUUUAUUUGAAAGGGGCAAUUGCUCCACUACAAGAUGGACCUGCGUUGUAUUAGCUAGUAGGUGAGGUAACGGCUCACCUAGGCGACGAUACAUAGCCGACCUGAGAGGGUGAUCGGCCACACUGGGACUGAGACACGGCCCAGACUCCUACGGGAGGCAGCAGUAGGGAAUCUUCGGCAAUGGGGGCAACCCUGACCGAGCAACGCCGCGUGAGUGAAGAAGGGUUUCGGAUCGUAAAGCUCUGUUGUAAGUCAAGAACGAGUGUGAGAGUGGAAAGUUCACACUGUGACGGUAGCUUACCAGAAAGGGACGGCUAACUACGUG